CCCAAAUUAACACCUUUAAAAUGCAUCCUCAUGUAUUCUUGCUACUAUUGAGUUCUGGGGUGUCCAGUUACUUUCUCCCUCAGAAGGAAAUGCCUCAUUGGUUGAACGAGGUUAAAUACCCACUGGUUGAUGAAAUGCUUUGUUUGCUGGAGGGUGAAAAUGCACGCAUAAAAGUGAACUUGUCCACACCGGUCUACGUAAAGAAACCAGACUGUGCACAUAAGAAUGCUGAAGUAUUUAUUCAUGAACUAAAAAAGCUUCACAAAUGGACAUGCAUGAAAAAAGUGGAGAAAGAUAUGAAAGAGCUAGAAAGAAAUUGCAGUAUUUUCAAGAAAUCUUCAUUCAACAAGAGCUGCUCAAAGAAGUCAAAUACUGAUUUCUCGGAAUUUAAAGCGAGUCUGGAAGAAUUCCUGAGAUGGA